AUACACUAUUGUUUUUAUUUCUGUUGCUCCAGCAAUUCAAGAUGUAACAGAGACUCCAACUCAUGGACAGAGCUGCUGACUGUGCUAACAUGACUGAGCUAACAUGCCAAAAUUACUAAUAUAGUCUGCACUGGUCCAUUACCAUAACAACUGGCUUGGCUGACCUUGCACCUAUUGCUUAUUGCAUACUUGGGGUGAUUUGUGCCCAUGAUAUAAAUUAACCCCUUCCUCCAUGUCCCGUUCCUCCAACAGCUUUAGCUUGUCCUAUUGCCUGCAGAACCAGUACAAGUUGUGCACCUGCAGGAGAUAUGGGUGUGUGUGUUUGGACAGAAGAGGAACAUGUUCUUAUAGUAAGGACACCUCCCUGCACUGCUUUCAGUUGCAUGCAGCAGUGAUGAUGAUGAUGAUUCCUUUCAUUUGUAUGUCGCUUUAUAUUCUCGGGGGGGGGGGGGGUAUUUACAAUGAAGAAACAAGAAUGGUUUUUGCUUUUUGUAGCUGCCUUGUGGAUCCACCCUAGCUGUUCUCCAAGUCCAUUAUUAUUUUUGGACAUUUCCAAAUGUUCCCUUGGUACUUAUUCUAAGUGUUCAACUAUUCUUCACUCUAACUGACUAUUCCUUCUUCCAUGCAACAGUAGGAGGUGAUAGGUAACUUUAUUACCAAAGAUGGCAAAACUUUAUUGCCAACCUUCAAAAAUAAAAUAAAAUUGGUGGAGGGGCACAUGCUGAAGAGAAAAUGGGUUCUAAAAAGUGAAACUCAAGAACAUAAAAGUUACCAAUCUAGCAAGAAUUGUUAAACACUUCAAAAUGGCACUCAUUAUAAUACUAACGCUAUACAAGCACUCUGCAAUAAACUGGGGGAGAAAAAAAUCAAUACACAAAGGGAAAAACACAUAGUUAAGUGUAAUUGUAUUCAACUUUGAUUUUAAUUCAUUUAAUUUAUGCAACAUCAGACUGAACAAAUCCUGGCUUUGUAAACCUGCCUACAGUCCCUUUGUUCCUCAGUUCUCAUGAGUGUGUGCAAUACAGGAAGCUAUUUUGAAUGGCUUCUAAGCAAGCUAGGAUAUGAAAAUGCCUAAAAGUUGAGCUUAUUUGGAAGUCACUGGCCAUAGUUUCCUGCCGGCAGACAGUCACACUGCUAUAAUGUUUAGAAUUUCUGUAUACAUAUUUUUCACUCAUUUCCAGUCAGAAACAAGAAUUUAGUUGUGGCAUUUCAUUAACAAAUACUUAUGGACCAUUUUUGCACCAUUGAAUUGUGCUUUUUCUGGUUUAUCCUAGUGCUAGGCUAGAAUAUACAAUGAUCCAAAUUGUUCAAGUAUGAAUGUUCAUUUCCCCAAUGUUAAUAAAUUUUGUGUAGGUCUAAACUCAUUUAGUACCAUCCUUUAUUAUUUAUUUCAUGAAUUAUUGGAUUCUGUAAGCUAGAAGACAGUCUUUAGAGAUGUAAUUACUAUGAAAUUGAGUUGACUUAAAUGAAUAAACCAAACAAAGCAGUGAGGUAUGACUAAAUUUGAUGAAGUUUAUUUCUAAUUAGAGUUUGAGAUUACAGCUGCUAUAUGUUUGUAUAACAAUUAAAAGCUAUUAUGUGAGUGGCUAAUUAAUAUGAACACCCAACAUAAUUAGAAUGAUGUGUAUGUGAAAAACUCAUAGAAGAGUCUAAGCUGUGGAGAUGAAGAAAGCAGAGGUGGAGAAAGAGGCCUGCAAGUUGCUUUCUAUCUGUCAAUCUCUAUUCUCAAAUUUUCAUUCCCCACCCACUUGUAGUUUUAUCUGUUUCAUACAGCUGUUCUUUUUCAGCUGCAUGUUCAUUUCAUAGGUUUAAUAUAAUUUCUGUCAUUUAAUCAUUGCUUAGCUAUAUAAUAUAAUAAUAAUAAUUUAUUAUUUAUACCCCGCCCAUCUGGCUGGGUUUCCCCAGCCAUUCUGGGAGGCUUCCAACAAAACACUAAAAUACAAUAACCUAUUAAACAUUAAAAGCUUCCCUAAACAGGGCUGCCUUUAGAUGUCUUCUAAAAGUUUGGUAGUUAUUUUUCUCUUUGACGGCCAUUUGACGAGGCCGUUUAGGGCUUUAAAGGUCAGCACCAACACUUUGAAUUGUGCUCGGAAACGUACUGGAAGCCAGUGUAGGUCUUUCAAGACCGGGGUUAUAUGGUCUCGGCAGCCGCUCCCAGUCACCAGUCUAGCUGCCGCAUUCUGGAUUAAUUGUAGUUUCCGGGUCACCUUCAAAGGUAGCCCCACGUAGAGCGCAUUUCAGUAGUCCAAGCGGGAGAUAACUAGAGCAUGCACCACUCUGGCGAGACAGUCCACGGGCAGGUAGGGUCUCAGCCUGCGUACCAGAUGGAGCUGAUAAACAGCUGCCCUGGAUACAGAAUUGACCUGUGCCUCCAUGGACAGCUGUGAGUCCAGAAUGUCUCUCAAAAACAAUACUUAUGUCUUGUCAGGAUUCAACCCCAAUUUGUUAGCCGCCAUCCAUCCUCCAACUGCCUCCAGACACUCACACAGGACCUUCCCCGCCUUCACUGGUUCUGAUUUGAAAGAGAGAUAGAGUUGGGUAUCAUCCGCAUACACCCAGUCCAAACCUCCUAAUGAUCUCUCCCAGAGGCUGCAUGUAGAUGUUGAAAAGCAUGGGGGAGAGGACAGAACCCUGAGGCACCCCACAAGUGAGAGCCUAGGGGUCUGAACACUCAUCCCCUACCACCACUUUCUGAACAAGGUCCAGGAGGAAGGAGCGGAACCACUGUAUAACAGUGCCCCCAGCUCCUAGCCCAUCUAGACGGUCCAGAAGGAUGUUAUGGUUGAUGGUGUCAAAAGCCGCUGAGAGAUCCAGCAGAACUAGGAAACAGCACUCACCUUUGUCCCUAGCCCACUGGAGAUCAUCGACCAGUGCGACCAAGGCAAUUUCAGUCCCAUGAUGAGGCCACCACUUGCUCAAUCACCUUGCCCAAAAAUGGAAGAUUUGAGACUGGGCGAUAGUUGGCCAUAUUGGCAGCAUCUAAAGAUGUUUUUUUAAGAAGCGGUUUGAUAACCGCCUCUUUUAGCGGGUCUGGGAAGGCUCCCUACAGAGAGAAGCAUUCACCACCCCGUGAAGCCCAUCGCCCAGCCUUUCCUGGCUAGCUUUUAUAAGCCAGGAUGGGUAAGGAUAAAGGAGAUAGGUAGUUGGUUUCACUCAUCCAAGCAGCCUGUCCACAUCCUCGGAAGUAACAGAUUGGAAUUGAUCCCACACAACUUGACUAGACAGGACUCUAGCACUCUCCCGCCCCAGCCCUGCUCCCACAGUGGAGUCUACCUCUUCCCUAAUCUGAGUGACUUUAUCUGCAAAAAGCUUUGCAAAAUCAUUGCAGGAGAUCAUGUGGCCCGUACUGGGCCCCGAUGUAGCAGGUGGUUCCGCUAAAUUGCCAACCAUCUGAAAAAGUCUCCUGCUUCUGUUUUCUGCAGAUGCAAUAGAGGCGGUGAAGAAAGUCUUCUUUGCCGUCACUACUGCCACUUGGUAGGCUCGACAUUGAGCUCUAACCCGUGUCCGGUCAGCUUCAGAAUGAGUUAUCCACCACAGGCGCUCUAGCCGUCUCAGCGAUUGUUUCAUUGCCCUCAGAUCCGUGGAAAACCAUGGGGGUGUCCAGGCUCCAUGCAAUCGGAGAGGGCGCUUCGGAGCAAACAGUCCAUAGGCCUGGUUAACUCCACAUUCCAGCGGGCCACCAGGGAAUCAGCUGAAAGGUCAUCAACAUGGGAUAAAGCAUCCCCUACCACUCUCUGGAAACCAUUUGGAUCCAUUAAGUGGCAGGGGCGGACCAUCUGAAUCGGUCCCACCUCCCUGCAGAGGGGAAGGGUCGCAGAGAAGUCCACUUGCACCAGGAAGUGAUCUGACCAUGGCACUUCUUUCGUUUUGCUUUUACUUAAUGUCAGAUCACCAACACCCAUAGAGGUAAACACCAGGUCCAAGGCAUGUCCACGUCUAUGGGUUUGGCCAAACCUAUUCAGGGACAGCCCCAUGUAGGCCAUGCUUUCCAUGAAGUCCAGAGCGGCCCCUUGUAAGGUUGUGUUGGCAUGCAUGUUAAAAUUCCCUAGCACAACCAAACUAGGUAUCUCCAGGAGAACAUCCGCCACAACCUGAAGCAGCUCGGGCAGGGAAUCCUUGGUGCAGCGGGGAGGUCAGUACACCAGAAGGAAUCCUGUACUGCUCUUAUUGCCCAGCUUCCAGAACAUGCACUCAGAAAACUGGGUCUUCCCAGUAGGGCACCUGAUGCAAGCUAGUGACUUCCUAAAAAUCACUGCAACCCCCCUCCCCGCCCACAAGGCCUGGGUUGCUGUGCGUAAGAGAAACCUGGUGGACAAGCAGCGGCAAGGACAGGCCCAUCUGCUUCAUCCAACCAAGUCUCUGUCACGCAUGCCAGGUCAAGUCCUCCAUCCAUGAUCAAGUCAUGGAUGGCAGUGGUCUUAUGAAUCAUUGACCUAGCAUUGCACAGCAGCACCUUCAGGUCAUGUGGGUAUCCCUUGCUGAUUAUAGUAUCCGUCCUGUCAGGACCAGACCCGGAGGCAGGGAUAGUCCUCAGACAACGACUAAACCUGCCUCCUCUGUAAUGACAUGGUCUGGUCUUAGCGUAACUCCUCCUCCUACCCGUGAUCACUGAGAUCAGUUGUCCCAGUGCAUCCCCCCCUGUGGAACAUGCCCCAGCCAUUUUGUUGGCUGGGACCCACUCCCCGGCAGCCCUGACCCCUCCCCUUAAGAACAAAAUAAAACUUUAAAAUAAAAAAUAAAACAAUAAAACAAUACAAACAAAAAACUGUAAAAAUUACAAAACACCAAAAUCAAACAAAUUCCCAGGCCCAACCAAACAUCCAUCCC
rnacentral:lncRNA from 1 species